AACGCUGGCGGCGUGCCUAAUACAUGCAAGUCGAGCGAACGGACGAGAAGCUUGCUUCUCUGAUGUUAGCGGCGGACGGGUGAGUAACACGUGGAUAACCUACCUAUAAGACUGGGAUAACUUCGGGAAACCGGAGCUAAUACCGGAUAAUAUUUUGAACCGCAUGGUUCAAAAGUGAAAGACGGUCUUGCUGUCACUUAUAGAUGGAUCCGCGCUGCAUUAGCUAGUUGGUAAGGUAACGGCUUACCAAGGCAACGAUGCAUAGCCGACCUGAGAGGGUGAUCGGCCACACUGGAACUGAGACACGGUCCAGACUCCUACGGGAGGCAGCAGUAGGGAAUCUUCCGCAAUGGGCGAAAGCCUGACGGAGCAACGCCGCGUGAGUGAUGAAGGUCUUCGGAUCGUAAAACUCUGUUAUUAGGGAAGAACAUAUGUGUAAGUAACUGUGCACAUCUUGACGGUACCUAAUCAGAAAGCCACGGCUAACUACGUGCCAGCAGCCGCGGUAAUACGUAGGUGGCAAGCGUUAUCCGGAAUUAUUGGGCGUAAAGCGCGCGUAGGCGGUUUUUUAAGUCUGAUGUGAAAGCCCACGGCUCAACCGUGGAGGGUCAUUGGAAACUGGAAAACUUGAGUGCAGAAGAGGAAAGUGGAAUUCCAUGUGUAGCGGUGAAAUGCGCAGAGAUAUGGAGGAACACCAGUGGCGAAGGCGACUUUCUGGUCUGUAACUGACGCUGAUGUGCGAAAGCGUGGGGAUCAAACAGGAUUAGAUACCCUGGUAGUCCACGCCGUAAACGAUGAGUGCUAAGUGUUAGGGGGUUUCCGCCCCUUAGUGCUGCAGCUAACGCAUUAAGCACUCCGCCUGGGGAGUACGACCGCAAGGUUGAAACUCAAAGGAAUUGACGGGG
rnacentral:rRNA from 1 species